UACGUAGGCAGCAAGCGUUGUUCGGAGUUACUGGGCGUAAAGAGUGCGUAGGCGGUGCUCUAAGUUUGGUGUGAAAUCUCCCGCUUAACUGGGAGGGUGCGCCGAAAACUGGAGUGCUUGAGUAUGGGAGAGGCAAGCGGAAUUCCUGGUGUAGCGGUGAAAUGCGUAGAUAUCAGGAGGAACACCGGUGGCGAAGGCGGGUCUCUGGGCCGAUACUGACGCUGAGAGACGAAAGCUAGGGUAGCAAAUGGG
rnacentral:rRNA from 1 species